GAUGAAGAACGUAGCGAAACGCGAUAGGUAAUGUGAAUUGCAGAAUUCCGUGAAUCAUCGAAUCUUUGAACGCACAUUGCGCCUGCUGGUAUUCCGGUAGGCAUGUCUGUUUGAGCGUCAGCAAAAUACUCUCAGUACGUAUUUAUUUACGUUCCGGUUAUGGGUUGGGAGUCAUUGGCAUUAGCCAACUCUUACCUUAAACUUGCUGCAUGACCGCAAGCUGCCUUUGGCUAGGUUUAUGGAGUGGUGUUUGCAUAUCUUCCGUAUCAUGUCAGGUCUAGCUUUCGCGGCGUUAAACCUUACGUUGCUUCCGUAGUAACUGAUGUUUGACCUCAAAUCAGAUAAGGAUACCCGCUGAACUUAAGCAUAUCAAUAAGCGGAGGA
rnacentral:misc_RNA from 1 species